GCUUGUCUCAAAGAUUAAGCCAUGCAUGUCUAAGUAUAAACGAUUUUAUACGUGAAACUGCGAAUGGCUCAUUAUAUCAGUUAUAGUUUAUUUGAUGGUCCUUACUAUUUGGAUAACCGUAGUAAUUCUAGAGCUAAUACAUGCGUCAAAACCCAACUUCUGGGAGGGUUGUAUUUAUUAGAUGGAAACCAAUGCGGGGUAACCCGGAAUAUGGUGAUUCAUAAUAACUUUCGGAUCGAUUUAUCGAUGCAUCAUUCAAGUUUCUGCCCUAUCAGCUUUGGAUGGUAGGGUAUUGGCCUACCAUGGCUUUAACGGGUAACGGAGAAUUAGGGUUCGAUUCCGGAGAGGGAGCCUGAGAAACGGCUACCACAUCCAAGGAAGGCAGCAGG
rnacentral:rRNA from 1 species